rnacentral:rRNA from 1 species
GAUGAACGCUGGCGGCGUGCCUAAUACAUGCAAGUCGAGCGAACAGACGAGGAGCUUGCUCCUCUGACGUUAGCGGCGGACGGGUGAGUAGCACGUGGAUAACCUACCUAUAAGACUGGGAUAACUUCGGGAAACCGGAGCUAAUACCGGAUAAUAUAUUGAACCGCAUGGUUCAAUAGUGAAAGACGGUUUUGCUGUCACUUAUAGAUGGAUCCGCGCCGCAUUAGCUAGUUGGUAAGGUAACGGCUUACCAAGGCAACGAUGCGUAGCCGACCUGAGAGGGUGAUCGGCCACACUGGAACUGAGACACGGUCCAGACUCCUACGGGAGGCAGCAGUAGGGAAUCUUCCGCAAUGGGCGAAAGCCUGACGGAGCAACGCCGCGUGAGUGAUGAAGGUCUUCGGAUCGUAAAACUCUGUUAUUAGGGAAGAACAAAUGUGUAAGUAACUAUGCACGUCUGGACGGUACCUAAUCAGAAAGCCACGGCUAACUACGU